rnacentral:rRNA from 1 species
CCUACGGGAGGCUGCAGUGGGGAAUAUUGGACAAUGGGGGCAACCCUGAUCCAGUCAUGCCGCGUGUGUGAAGAAGGCCCUCGGGUUGUAAAGCACUUUCAGUGAGGAAGAACGCCUGGUGGUUAAUACCCAUCAGGAAAGACAUCACUCACAGAAGAAGCACCGGCUAACUCCGUGCCAGCAGCCGCGGUAAUACGGAGGGUGCGAGCGUUAAUCGGAAUUACUGGGCGUAAAGCGCGCGUAGGUGGCUUGAUAAGCCGGUUGUGAAAGCCCCGGGCUCAACCUGGGAACGGCAUCCGGAACUGUCAAGCUAGAGUGCAGGAGAGGAAGGUAGAAUUCCCGGUGUAGCGGUGAAAUGUGUAGAGAUCGGGAGGAAUACCAGUGGCGAAGGCGGCCUUCUGGACUGACACUGACACUGAGGUGCGAAAGCGUGGGUAGCAAACAGGAUUAGAUACCCGGGUAGUC